rnacentral:rRNA from 1 species
GACCUCUAAUCGGAAAAGACCACCCGCUGAGUUUAAGCAUAUCACUAAGCGGAGGAGAAGAAACUAACCAGGAUUUCCCUAGUAACGGCGAGCGAACCGGAAAGAGCCCAGCUUGGAAAUCGAGGUGCCUCGCACCCCGAGUUGUAGUCUGGAGAAGGUCCCUCUGCGACGCGCCGGACCCAAGUUCCCUGGAAAGGGACGUCAUCGAGGGUGACAACCCCGUCCGCGCCCGGAAGGCGUCGCUCCACGAGGACCUGUCUGCGAGUCGGGCUGUUUGGGAAUGCAGCCCUAAUCCGGUGGUAAAUUCCAUCGAAGGCUAAAUAUGGGCAAGAGACCGAUAGCGAACAAGACCGCGA